UUAGGAGUACCUGAUAAAAACAGCCUCAAAAAGUAACUUCAACACACCGGCGUUACAUUGCGACUCUACUGUACUCCAUAGUUUUUCCUCAAAGUUGUAUCUGUUUGAUUUUUUAAGGUUACGUAUCAGCUGUUCAUAUGCGAAAUGAAAACAAUUGGGGUUAGGAUUAAAAAUUAGGGAUUAAAAGGACUAAACGAAGUCAAUAAGCUUUUCAGUAAGAAUGCACAGCUGCACUUUAGUUUUAUGGAAAAUUUGAUGAUUUGUAAUUACUACAGAAAGUGAGACUAUAGAUUAUCAUUUAAGCUGAAAAACGGGACAAGAGCGCGCGGGCACAUCAGUUCGAAGACCUUUCAAAACAGAGGCGCAUUAAAUUAGAUUUAUACGUUUAAAAAAGGUUGUGUUUCUACUUGAAUGAUAAAAAAAACAAUGGCUCAACAAAAGUUCAAUUGGUUUUUCAAAAAGUUCAUUUUUCAUGUACCUAUGUGAGCUAAGAGUGUACUUACGGUGAUAACCCUGUGAUGGCCCCUGGUCUAUUUUCAAUCUCUCUGGAUUGAAAUAAAUUAACAAGAGAUGAAGCAGCGAGCUGACGAGGUUGCUACUGGUCUUCACGACGAUAUACCUGGCCACGUCUCUGCUGCGAAGCGAGGCGAAUCAAAUCGUCACGAAUUACCCGCGUCCCUCCAACAGCUCCUUCUAUUACGAAAUCGGCCACGGAAUUGAUCAGCUACUGUUCUUCACGAAAGGAACAUACAUUCAACGUUAUGUUAUCAUGACAGGUAUCACUGCUUUCUUCCAGGUUAUAGCCUGCGCUCUCGGAAUUUUUGCCUUGGAUAAGGGGCGACCAGAUUAUUUCCUACCAUGGCUCAUAAUGUUCAGUCAAACGUGUAUAACGGAGACGGGGGUCUCUUGCACAAAUCUCGCCAUCAUGAGUGUUUUAGGUCAAUAUCCGGAGUAUUUCAUAGCUGAUGCCAUCUCUGCAGUUUCGCAUGGUAUUUUCUUAGCGUAUUUCAUCUGGGUAGUGUUCAGUUUUUAUAAAAAAGAAAAGCUCAAAACAGGAAGACCAUUGCCAAGGGCACCUCCUUACUACCCGCCAUUUUUGGGAGAGACCAAUCCACCCUAUAACCCGGCUGUUCAAAGUAGAGCCAAAGCCUCAACAUUACCUGCUGGUUUUGACACUCAUUGCGAAUUCAUAAAAGAUGGAACUUAG
rnacentral:lncRNA from 1 species